rnacentral:sRNA from 2 species
GAUCUGGCCGCGCCGAGCUCCAUCCGCCAGGUGGGGGUUCCACCAACCCGUGGAUGGAGACGGGGGACCCACCGGUCCACCGAUACGGACCUGGGGCCCAGCGGCCCCUUGGGGUGAAGCCGACGCGGUUCCUUCGGGAACAACGACGGCCGGGCAGCCUCUCUCGCCCGAACCCGACAGCUGACCUCGUGGGCGCGUAUCAGAGAGGAA